rnacentral:rRNA from 1 species
UGAAGGCCUUCGGGUCGUAAAGCUCUGUUGUUAGGGAAGAACAAGUAUCGGAGUAACUGCCGGUACCUUGACGGUACCUAACCAGAAAGCCACGGCUAACUACGUGCCAGCAGCCGCGGUAAUACGUAGGUGGCAAGCGUUGUCCGGAAUUAUUGGGCGUAAAGCGCGCGCAGGCGGUUCCUUAAGUCUGAUGUGAAAGCCCACGGCUCAACCGUGGAGGGUCAUUGGAAACUGGGGAACUUGAGUGCAGAAGAGAAGAGCGGAAUUCCACGUGUAGCGGUGAAAUGCGUAGAGAUGUGGAGGAACACCAGUGGCGAAGGCGGCUCUUUGGUCUGUAACUGACGCUGAGGCGCGAAAGCGUGGGGAGCGAACAGGAUUAGAUACCCUGGUAGUCCACGCCGUAAACGAUGAGUGCUAAGUGUUAGAGGGUUUCCGCCCUUUAGUGCUGCAGCAAGCGCAUUAAGCACUCCGCCUGGGGAGUACGGCCGCAAGGCUGAAACUCAAAGGAAUUGACGGGGGCCCGCACAAGCGGUGGAGCAUGUGGUUUAAUUCGAAGCAACGCGAAGAACCUUACCAGGUCUUGACAUCCUCUGACACUCCUAGAGAUAGGACGUUCCCCUUCGGGGGACAGAGUGACAGGUGGUGCAUGGUUGUCGUCAGCUCGUGUCGUGAGAUGUUGGGUUAAGUCCCGCAACGAGCGCAACCCUU